rnacentral:misc_RNA from 1 species
GUGGACUACAAGGGUUUCUAAUCCUGUUUGCUCCCCACGCUUUCGUGCAUCAGCGUCAGUGAACCUCUAGUAAGCUGCCUACGCAAUCGGUGUUCUGUGUAAUAUCUAAGCAUUUCACCGCUACACUACACAUUCCGCCUACCUCAUGGUUACUCAAGUAAAACAGUUUCAAUGGCAGGACUACAGUUGAGCUGCAGCUUUUCACCACUGACUUAUUUAACCGCCUACGCACCCUUUAAACCCAAUAAAUCCGGAUAACGCUUGCAUCCUUCGUAUUACCGCGGCUGCUGGCACC